CAAGUUCAUGAUCAUGUUCUUCCACGGCUUUCUUGAACUGUGAGCUGGUGUUGCUUCCACCCUUUCCUCGUUGCUCCUCGAGAGAUCACUGUGCGACGAGGAAGACACAUCCAGCGCAAAGUUCAAGAAAGAUGUGGGAAAACAUGACAGAUCUUU
rnacentral:miRNA from 15 species